UCGAGGAUCUUCGUCAAUGGGCGAAAGCCUGAACGAGCGAUGCCGCGUGUGCGAUGAAGGCCUUCGGGUUGUAAAGCACAAAAGAGAUGAGAAAGGGCAACUCGAUCGAAUCUCAGUAAGCUCGGGCUAAGUUCGUGCCAGCAGCCGCGGUAAGACGAACCGAGCGAACGUUGUUCGGAAUCACUGGGCUUAAAGGGCGCGUAGGCGGGCGGCUAAGUCCGCGGUGAAAUCCUCCAGCUCAACUGGAGAACUGCCGUGGAUACUGGUUGUCUCGAGGAACGUAGGGGUAUGCGGAACUAUCGGUGGAGCGGUGAAAUGCGUUGAUAUCGAUAGGAACUCCGGUGGCGAAGGCGGCAUACUGGACGUUUUCUGACGCUGAGGCGCGAAAGCCAGGGGAGCAAACGG
rnacentral:rRNA from 1 species